CACUGCAAACUCUGCCUCCAAGAUGCAAAUGAUUCUCGUGCCUCAGCCUCCCAAGUAGCUGGAAUUACAGGUGUGCACUACCACGCCCAGCUGUUUUUUGUAGAGAUGGGGUUAGUAGAGAUUUGUUUAAUAGAGACGGGGUUUCACCGUGGUCUCUACUAAACCCUGUCUCUACUAAAAAUACAAAAAUUACCCAGGCGUGGUGGCACAUGCCUGUAGUCCCAGCUACUCAAGAGGCUGAGGCAGGAGAAUCACUUGAACCUGGGAGGUGGAGGUUGCAGUGACCCAAAAUCAUGCACUCUAGCCUGGGGUCUCGCUUUUGCCCAGGUUAGAGUGCAGUGGCACAAUCACAGUGGCUCACUGCAGCCUCAAACUCCUGGGCUGAAGGGAAUCCUCCCACCUCAGCCUCCCAAGUAGCUAGGACUACAGGCAUGUGCCAUCAUGGCGAGUUAAUUUUGUGUGUGUUUUUAUUGUCUCGAGACAGAGUCUUGCUCUGUUGCUCAGGCUGGACUGCAAUGGCGUGAUCUUGGCUCACCGCAACCUCCACCUCCUGGGUUCAAGCAAUUCUCCUACCUCAGCCUCCCGAGUAGCUGGGAUUACAGGUGCGUGCCACCAUGCCUGGCUAAUCUUGUAUUUUUAGUAGAGACAGGGUUUUGCCAUGUUGGUCAGGCUGCUCUCGAACUCCUGACCUCGUGAUCCACCUGCCUCGGCCUCUCAAAGUGUUGGGAUUACAGGCAUGAGCCACUGAGCCUGGCCUGGUGAGCUAAUUUUUAAAUUUGUUAUAGAGACAAGAGUCUCUCUUAUGUUGCCCAGGCUGGUCUCGACCCCCUGGCCUCAAGUGAUCCUCCCACCUCAGCCUCCCAAAGUGCUGGGAUUACAGAUGGGUGUCACCGCACCUGGCCUCUGAGGAGGAUUUCAUUAUAAACCUGCCCUGAAGGGAGGGAAUCCAAUUUUACGAGAGGGUGUAGCCUGGUGAGGCCUGGAUGACCUCCGGAGGCAGGGGCUUGUGCCUGGGCUGAGGCCUAAGGGACAAUGGGCAGACAUGAAGUUGCCCCAGGCAGAGGGUACAGUGUGGGCAAAGUCAGGAAGUGGCAGGGCUUGGAUCACUCCAGGAAGAGAGAGGAGUCAUGUGUCACAGGAGCUCGAGACCCAGAGAGUGAGGCAGGCAGGCAGGCAGGGACCAAGCUUGGGCACAGCCAGGAAGGCAGGACAGGGCAUGGUGGGGCCAAUGGAAUCAUUACCCAAGACGGGGAUUUUCAGGGAAACAGCUUAGAUAAGGCCAGGUGUACAGUAGCUCCCACCUGUAAUCCCAGCAUUUGGGGAGGCUGAAGUAGGAGGACUGCUUGAGCCUGGGAGUUCGAGACCAGCCUAGGCAACGUAGUGAGACCCCAUAUCCACAAAAGAUUUUAAAAAAGGAGUUUGUGUUCCUGUAGUAGCAGACUUGGGAAGUUGAGGUGGCAGUGUCACUUGAGCCCGGGAGUUCAAGGCUAAAGUGAGCUGAUUGAGCCAUUGCACUCCAGCCUGAGCAACAGAGAGAUACGCUGUCUCAAAGGAAAUACAAAUUAAAAAACCAGCCGGGCAUGCUGGCGUGUGCCUGUAGUCUCAGCUACUUGGGACACUGAAGUGGGAGGAUCGCUUGAGCCCAGGAGUUCAAGGCUGCCGUGAGCUAUGAUUGUGCCUCUGCAGUCCAGCCUGGGUGACAGAGAAAGACCCUGUCUCUUAAAAAAAAAAAAAUCUUAGAUAAGAGGAUGCUGUGCCUCCCUGGGGGUCUUCAGUCACCCAUGGUCCUGGCAAGAGAGGAGGGCCAGGAGAGAGCUUCACCCACCUGCUGUCCUGCCCAUGUGACAUCCGCAGGUGCUGCCAUGGCCAUGACUGUUGUUACACUCGAGCUGAGGAGGCCGGCUGCAGCCCCAAGACAGAGCGCUACUCCUGGCAGUGCGUCAAUCAGAGCAUCCUGUGCGAACUCUGCAAGGUCAGUGCGACCACCCUGCUCCAAAUCCAAGAAAACAGAGGUUUCCAGAGGAAGGAGAAAUUGUGCCCAGGGUCACACAGCUUGCAAGAGGCAGAGUGGAAGUUGAUUCCAGCUCUGCCUGCAGGACCCUCUCAUUUCCCCUCUGUUUCCCUUCUUGACAAAGAAUCUUCUUCACUCUGGAGGUGCCACCCAUGAGAACAAAGAGCUCUGGAGAGAUGUGGAUUCCUGAAGAGCUGCAGGGGGACUGGGAGAGGGUUUUCUGACAGAACAAUCUUACCUCAAGAAGUCAGUUAGGGAUGGCUGUAAUAUUUCUUUUCACUCCCAGGUAAUACCAAAUUGUAAGUGCACUAGGACAUAAAGGAUACUUUUGUCCAUGGAAAAA